UACGUAGGGUGCAAGCGUUAUCCGGAAUUAUUGGGCGUAAAGAGCUCGUAGGCGGUUUGUCGCGUCUGCUGUGAAAACCCAAGGCUCAACCUCGGGCCUGCAGUGGGUACGGGCAGACUAGAGUGCGGUAGGGGAGAUUGGAAUUCCUGGUGUAGCGGUGGAAUGCGCAGAUAUCAGGAGGAACACCGAUGGCGAAGGCAGAUCGCUGGGACGUCACUGACGCUGAGACGCGAAAGCGUGGGGAGCAAACAGG
rnacentral:rRNA from 1 species